UCGUCACAUGGCCGCUGCGCCCCCCCGCCCCCCGCUCGCGGCCAUUAGAUCCUCCUCUGCAAACUCCACCCUCUUCCUCCGACCCUCGCCUCUGCUCCUGCUCCCCGUCGCAUUGACCUUCCUGCUCCUCUGCUCGCCUACAGCUCCGCUCCACGCCGCUCCGUCCGUCGAGGCCGUGACGACUCGCCGCGGGACGGCGUCUCUCCGAGCUGCGCCUUGUUCUUCCAGAUAAGGAGCAGCUUCUGAUUCUCGCUCUCUCAUUGGUUAUUCAGUGGAACUGUUAUGCUACCGGUUAUAUCAUUUUCAGAGAACAAGGAGCAUAGAAGUUUCAGUCAUGGAUUAAUGUUAUCAGCUAUAGUCAGCAACAUCAUCUGUUGGGUUCAACAGUCAACUGAUGUGUGAGUAAAAUUUCAACGUGAACAGAAAACCGUGCUGAUUAUCGAGAAAGAUGGGGGACAACUACGUAGCUGAACCUGAGGACGAGGUUCCACAAUCAAUGUGGCCUGAGAAUAUAGGAGACAAACAUCAGAGGCAGUUCAGAAUGGAAAACUUUAGGAAGGACCAAGAUGCUUUCAAGGAUGUGAAGUUUGAUGAAAAGCCUGUUCAUGUGGAUUACCAGCGGCUUAUUGAAAUGGCAAAUUCUGAGAAAGGUAUUUCUCAGAUGCAAUACUUUAUGAAGCACUGGGAAUAUAAGAGAGCCAAUGCUGCUCGGCUUCUGGAGGAAGAGCUCGGUCUUCUCUGCCAACAAAGGAAAGAGAUUGAGCAAAAUAAGCAACAAAUCUUGGAAGAACAACGUUUUCAGGAUGAGAGUUAUUAUGCUGUAAAGCGGCAUGUACCGAUACUGGAUGAAGUUUAUGAAGAUGAAUGGAAGCGACCUAGCAAAAAGAAUGACGAUCUUUCUCGUAGUAGAGAGACUAAAAUAGAUGCAGAUUAUGACAGUGUUUCCUACUGGAAAGAGCGGGCAACUAAGUUAGAGGAAAAACUUGAGGAAAGCAUCCAAAGGGAGCGUUCUUUAGUUGAGAAAUUGGAGGAAAAUAUAAAGAACCUGCAGUCACACACACCAGCUGAGGAAUUCUCUGGAAUGCUAAAACGCGCUGAUUACUUCUUGCAUUUGGUUCUACAAAGUGCUCCUAUUGUUAUUGCUCAUCAGGAUGCUGAUUUACGGUACCGUUUCAUAUUUAACCACUAUCCAACACUUGCUGAUGAGGAUGUUAUUGGUAAGACAGACUAUGAGAUAUUGUCAGGUGAGGGUAUAGAAGAGAUGAAUAGUGUCAAGCGAGAAGUUAUGGCCACGGGAAUAGCAACUAAAAGAGAAUUUGCGUUUAAUACACCAAUGUUUGGGGCAAAGACAUUUGUGACAUACAUUGAGCCAGUUUUCAGCAAAGGUGGGGAAACGAUUGGCGUGAAUUAUGUUGCAAUGGACAUAACAGAUCAGGUCAAAAGAAGAGAGAAAAUGGCAGACAUAAGGGUGAGGGAAGCUGUCCAAAAUGCCAAGGAAACCGAACUUAGCAAAUCUCUUCACAUAACAGAGGAAACAAUGCGAGCAAAACAAAUGCUAGCUACCAUGUCCCAUGAGAUCAGAUCUCCUCUUUCAGGUGUUCUUAGCAUGGCUGAAAUUCUUGCAACUACCAAACUGGAUAAAGAACAACAUCAGUUGCUUGAAGUUAUGUUAUCCUCUGGAGAUCUUGUAUUGCAGCUGAUCAAUGACAUCCUUGAUCUUUCCAAAGUGGAGUCAGGGGCCAUGAAACUAGAAUCUACGACAUUUAGACCAAGGGAAGUAGUUAAACAUGUACUCCAAACUGCCGCGGCUUCUCUAAAGAAGGAAUUGACCCUUGAAGGGUGCAUAGGUGAUGAUGUUCCAGUGGAGGUUAUUGGUGAUGUGCUAAGGAUUCGGCAAAUUCUGACCAACUUGAUCAGCAAUGCAGUCAAGUUUACACAUGAAGGGAAAGUUGGAAUAAUUCUUCAGGUCGUGCAUGACAAGCAACCAGGAUGCAAAAUAGAGGGCGGGAAAAUUCAUAAGCGAGCAUAUUCUGGGACAGCAAUUACUGCUGUAGAAACUGCUGUUGUCUCUCCAAGAAAUUGUGAUAAAGAUAAUUUGCAUUGCUCGAAACAUGAAGAUGCUUUUCAGAAUGGUGUUCCAACAUGUGAAAAUUUCAAGGAGGAUAUUGAGGGAGAGGAAGUCGUUUGGCUUCGCUGUGAUGUAUAUGACACUGGAAUAGGAAUACCAGAGAAGUCCUUACCAUUGCUGUUCAAGAGGUAUAUGCAAGCUAGCACCGAUCAUGCGAGGAAGUAUGGUGGGACAGGGCUUGGCCUUGCAAUCUGCAAGCAGUUGGUGGAGUUGAUGGGUGGUACACUGACUGUGGUCAGCAAAGAGAAUGAAGGAUCAACAUUUACAUUUGUGCUGCCUUGUAAAAUCCCUGUAAAAGAGGAGCAUAGUGAUGAUCCUGAUGAAGUGCACAGUUCUCAGAAUGAUUCUGCAAACAGCGAUAUAGAAGGUUCUUUCUUUUUUAAGCCACAAAUGCGAGCUUCUCUUCUGUCUCCUGGAGUUUCAAUAAUGAACAACACAAAGUUAUUUGGUGCCAAGCUUAUGUGCUAUGAUCCGCCGGACAAAUUGUUCUCAAAUGGUUUCUCAUCAACGGAACCUAAUUUUACAAAUACCUCUACUGCUCACCAACCUAAUGGUGAUACUGUUAGGAGCACAGCUGAAGAAGAACAUGAUAAUGCAAUGGUCCUUGAACUGAAUAGUCAAGCUGAACGGGUUUCCAGUUCCCGAGGAGACUUGGUAUCUGUUUCAGGUGCUGCUCCAUGCAAAGUUCUUGAAGAACAGUCAUUCCACAAGAAAUCAAAGUGUUCUCCAACCAGCAACAAAGCAAAGAUCCUCCUAGUUGAAGAUAACAAGGUCAACAUAAUAGUGGCAAAAUCAAUGCUGGAGCAGCUGGGCCAUGCAAUAGAUAUCGUAAAUAAUGGGAUGCAAGCAAUCCGUGCAGUACAGCAGCACCAAUAUGAUCUUAUUCUGAUGGAUGUUCACAUGCCAGAAAUGGAUGGCCUACAAGCCACUAAACAUAUCCGUUCUUUUGAGAAUACCGGCUGUUGGGACGUUUCUGUAAAGCCUGAAGACAAUCAGAUGAUAACUGACUCAACUAUUUCAUCAGAUUCUGCACAUGCAAAAAAGCAAGGGCAGAGGGUUCCUAUAAUUGCGAUGACAGCAAAUUCAUUCGCAGAGAGUUCCGAGGAAUGCCUUGCUGCAGGCAUGGAUUCCUACAUAUCUAAGCCUGUGAACUUUCAGAAUAUAAAAGAAUGCCUGCAGCGGUAUUUAAUGUCUCAAUGACUAACCAACUGUUGUAAAGUAGAAAGGUAAUCUGUAGAUUAGGAAAGUUUUGUGAAAUCACCUAUCAGUCCGUUUCUUGUAAAUCAAUCCGUAAUAAAUAUAGCGAAUCCUGUCUUGUCGACCAUUCUACCUUUACUACUGGGAGACAGAGACAGAGCUCUAUUUUGGAGAGCAUCCUGAAUCUGACCUAACCCCACCAGUAAGAUCAAGAGCUGACUCUAAACUUUAGGAUCCUCAUUUGUUUACGAGACAUAUUCCUGUAUAUAAUUGUUAUGGAGGUUCUUAUCCUUUAGCAGUCAGUAUUCUAUCUGUAUCAUAAUUGAUGAGCAACAUGGGUUUUAUGAUGAUGUGAUGGAGAAGCAAAGAUGAUCCUACAGGCUACAGCUGCAGAUCGAAUAAAGAUUUUGUUCUGGUUUCAGCAUUGUUUAUUCCUGCUCUGGCAGUGCUGGUGUCACUAGCAGCAGUGUUGAAAGGAGCACACAGAAAGGGACGUCCCAAUUGCAUGCAUAAAGCUCUGCUCUUUUCUCUUCAUGCCUGGGGAAAGUUGUUUAUCCCAGCAGCGCUGAGCAGUUCAGCACAAGGGCUGCUAGGGUUGGGGCUGAUGUAUCAUGGAACAGGCUUGUGGUAGCUUUCAUGCAUUGCCCUUGUUCCUGCAACCAGGUUCGUUGGCUUGACCAUGAUGCAGCCAGUCACAAGAAAGAGCUGCAUAUCAGCAGUUCUUUCUGCCAGUGAUGACUUUGCAUUGUGCCAAUCUUCAGUUACCAAAGGGGGUUCAGGAUGAUGGCAUAUGCGUGUUUUAUAAUGGAUGGAUGGAUCUCUUUCUCAUUCACUGGCUCUGGCUGAAUAAGCAGGCCUUCUGCAACAUGUGCUGCAACUGCAAAGCGAGAUAAUCCAUUCCCUUUCCCAGCAUAUCUGAAGUCUGCUUAUUCUGUAGAUAUUUCUGUUAUUUUACCCCCAGAAAAUAUCAAUGACCGAUCAAGAGCUGGAACUCUGAAUCAGUGUGUCCUGUGCUGCCAGAUUAUGGGACUGUUGAUGCUGGUAUCUUCUGAAGCAUCAGAUUCAGAUGCUCGCCAUCAUCGUCAGGAAUUCACCAAGGGCAGCCGACGAAUCCCUCAGGUUCCUCCUCUGCCCUGACGUUGGGUUGCUCUCACUACCUGAGCACAGUGACCAGUGGGGGAGAGGAGGAUUCCUACACUGCACAAGCACAAAUCCAAGCAGAUCGAGCAGCACAGAAUCUGAAGCCCACAGGUGGACUGGAGGCUGCUGCUGGGUAGCUUGUAAACUGUGGGCAUAUAUGGACAGUUUUGCCCAUUUGAUCCCCUGGUAUCGACCAAUGCGGCGUCGACACGUCACUGUGGAAGGAUGACUGACGCUUAAGAGGUUCAUGUAUGUGAAUGCAGAUUCAGCUCGCUGAGAAAAAGUGGAAAUAUGCCGUUGGAUCAUUGGAUGGUGACACUACUGCAGGAUUCCCUUACCGUUUAGCUUGCCUUCAUGUAGUAGGAUUCUGGUGUUGUUAAUCCGCAUCAACUGGCUCUCGUCAGGUUGUGUUAUUGCGGCUGCUUACUGCAGCACAACUUGUAGCCCCUGGUGCUGUGUGUCGACACGCGCUAGUAAUCCGUGGAGAGUGAUGUAUCAAUGGCACUUAUCUCGGAUGUCAGCAGGCUACUGCGUGUGCUGUGGACAUACUGAUGCAAUCAAAGAGUGCACCUCCAACUUCAAAUUGAUGUCUGACAUGUGAGGAUGUUCAUUUACAAUAACUCUUUGGUGGAAGGUUAGGAGGUGGUUCAUGGUGCCACAAGAAGGUUGUGGGCUCGUGGCCGAGCAACACGACGAAGUUUGGUUCCUUGCCCAGGCAAUGCAAGGUUGUCUCGUCAGACAAUACUAUCCAUUUUAAGUGUCUGACAGUAAAGAUCGCUAUCUGGCCGAUAGGCAUCGGUUGUCAUAAAAAAAAAACCAUGCUGAUUUGGCAAGACUAAUAAAUUUAUGCAUUUUAUA